GCACCAGUGGUUGAGUGGUAGAAUAGUACCCUGCCAGGGUACAAACCCGGGUUCGAUCCCGGCUUGUGCA
rnacentral:tRNA from 1 species